ACGGAAGGCAGCAGUGGGGAAUAUUGGGCAAUGGGCGCAAGCCUGACCCAGCAAUGCCGCGUGAAGGAAGAAGGCUUUCGGGUUGUAAACUUCUUUUAAGUGGGACGAUAAUGACGGUACCACUUGAAUAAGCUCCGGCUAACUACGUGCCAGCAGCCGCGGUAAUACGUAGGGAGCAAGCGUUAUCCGGAUUUACUGGGUGUAAAGGGCGUGUAGCCGGGGGAGCAAGUCAGAUGUGAAAUCUAUGGGCUUAACCCAUAAACUGCAUUUGAAACUGUUCUUCUUGAGUGCUGGAGGGGCAAUCGGAAUUCCUUGUGUAGCGGUGAAAUGCGUAGAUAUAAGGAGGAACACCAGUGGCGAAGGCGGAUUGCUGGACAGUAACUGACGGUGAGGCGCGAAAGUGUGGGGAGCAAACAGGAUUAGAUACCCUGGUA
rnacentral:rRNA from 1 species